rnacentral:rRNA from 1 species
GACGAACGCUGGCGGCGUGCUUAACACAUGCAAGUCGAACGAAGUGGCGAACGGGUGAGUAACGCGUAAUCAACCUGCCCUUCAGAGGGGGACAACAGUUGGAAACGACUGCUAAUACCGCAUACUGAAGGAGGGGAUUGCGUCGGAAUAGCUAGUUGGAGGGGGAACGGCCCACCAAGGCGAUGAUGAGUAGCCGGGCUUAGAGAAUGAACGACCGCUUUGGGACUAGGACGAGACCAAGACUCCUACGAGAGCCAGCAGUGGGGAAUGUUACGCAAUGGACGAAAGUCUGACGGGGCAACGCCGCGUGAGUGAUAACGGCCUUCGGAAUGUAAAGCUCUGUUAAUCGGGACGCGGUACCGGAAUAGAAGACCACGGCUAACUACGUGCCAGCAGCCGCGGUAAUAC